UACAGGGGGGGCAAGCGUUGUUCGGAAUUACUGGGCGUAAAGGGUUCGUAGGUGGCCAACUAAGUCAGACGUGAAAUCCCUCAGCUUAACUGGGGAACUGCGUCUGAUACUGGAUGGCUUGAGUGUAGGAGAGGAAUGCGGAAUUCCAGGUGUAGCGGUGAAAUGCGUAGAUAUUGGGAGGAACACCAGUGGCGAAGGCGACUCACUGGACCGGUACUGACGCUGAUGCGCGAAAGCGUGGGGAGCAAACAGG
rnacentral:rRNA from 1 species